rnacentral:rRNA from 1 species
ACGCUCGACACCUACGGGGGCAGCAGUGGGGAAUAUUGCACAAUGGGGGAAACCCUGAUGCAGCGACGCCGCGUGGAGGAAGAAGGUCUUCGGAUUGUAAACUCCUGUUGUUGGGGAAAAAGAGGAUGGUACCCAACAAGGAAGUGACGGCUAACUACGUGCCGNNCGCGAGUAUGAGNGGCGNGNGAGAG